rnacentral:lncRNA from 1 species
GAGCAAAGCCAGCUGAGCUCACCGUCCUGGGGUCUGGAAGGAGAGUGGACCCCGGGACAAGGAGGGAGGCUCAGUGCAGAUGGAAAAGCGCAGCAUCUGGAAGUGGACUGGAGCUGCUAAUUGGAAAACCAUGGAAAGAGCCUCAUGGAAGAUAGGGGCUUUACGGAUACUCACAAGCUACACCUAACUGCCAGGCUCCACCUCUGGGCUGCCAUCUUGCCCACGCAGGCCACCUCCCCACGUUCUUUGUCCCGGGCGCUCCAGGCCAGCCCUCUGCUGCAGGGGAAGAACCGGAAGCGGAAGUACACUGCCCUGAGGACCAACACGUCUGACUGUCAUGCCGUGAAGCCUUAUUUUAUUUAUCAUGUUGAUUUGAUCACUUUUUUCUGCUGAAAAAUAAUACUCACUGUUGACCAUUGGGAAAAGGUAAAAGAAAAAGGAAAUAGAGCCACGGGUUCUACCUGAAGACAAUCAAAUCAGUAUUUACAAUUUUGGUGAGUAUUCUCCCACGAAUUUUUUCCCAAUCAUAUUUGAACGACAGACUGGAUUAUGCUGCAGUGAAAACAAAAACAAAAAGAUCCUAAUUUCAGUGGGUGAAAUGCAUAUGGGUUUAUUUCUCCUUGGGCCCUUUGUGGAUCCCAAGUCUAACAGGCAGGAUCAACUAAUAGUAUGAACAACGGUACAUCAUUUCUGGAUAUUUUUUUCUCAUUCCAAAGAAAUACACAGCUGACAGAAGAAGAUUCAAGAACUCAGCAGAGCAUGAGGAGCAUAAAAAUCACUUUUAGUCCUGCCAUUCACCUAUCACCUUUUAAGGCACUUGGGGC